CAGAGACCAGGUGUGGAUCACCAGUGCCCAUCUACUCAGGGUGCUUGUGGGCAGUGAUGGAAGCAAGGUCCACUGUACCCUGUUGCAAAUUUGAGAGAGACAGACAGUAUAGCUCUGGGUGGAGAACGGCUUAUGCGGGCGGACCUGAAUGAUCUAGCUUUUGAAAAGGCAGCAGAGGGCCACCUGGCUGUCAAGACUCAGGCUCCAGAAGAAGCGCCACCAAACUGGUCCUCUUCGGCACCUCCCUACAGAUUCCAGGAGCCUCAGCCGCACAGCUGCCCGGUCCUCGGAUCCUCACUUGUCUGCCCGGCAGCGGCCUCCUGCCCUCCGUGGAGCUGGGACUACUCCAGAUGUUACGAUGGAACAUCCUGCUUUGUGUCAUGCUGAUAUCUCUGAUGGAGACCCUGACCUCUCACUUUCCUCCUCUCAGCCUGUCCACCCUGGAGGUGGGACACUGGGCCCUGUGUCUCCCCUGCUGGGGCAGCGUCUGCUGCAGACCAGGCAGGAACCAGGUGAUUCUCUGACC